rnacentral:misc_RNA from 1 species
AAGUCGUAACAAGGUUUCCGUAGGUGAACCUGCGGAAGGAUCAUUAUUGAAUUCCAAGUAGAGUUGUUGCUGGCUCUCCGGAGCAUGGUGCACACUCUACACAUAUUCAACCACCUGUGAACUUAUUGUAGACCUGAGUUUCAUUCUCAAGGCAACUUGGAUGUGGGGUUGCGGGUCUCUUAGAGAUCAGCUUUCCUUGUGAUCCUUAGGUCUAUGUUUUACAAACCCUUUAAAAAGUUUAGAAUGUCAUUAAUGGCUUCACUGCCUUUAAUAUAAUACAACUUUCAACAACGGAUCUCUUGGCUCUC